rnacentral:lncRNA from 1 species
AAAUAGCUGCAAGGCAUAACCGCUUUAUUCAAGCACCUCCUUUACCUGAAGGUCAUGGCUGACUUCCAGGACGACCUUAGGCAGUGAGAUGGCCACAGAUCUCUUCUUCAUCUUGCUGGCCCAGGUCUUUAGCUGUUCCCUGUUCAGCAGUUUCUCAACCCUCUCCAGAGGCUCCACGUGGUUUGGCAUGAUAAAGAUCAUGCUGGAGAGCUUAUGAGCCAGUGGCAUUUCUACCACCUGAAGCUUCUCUGCCUCAUCAUCAUAGUAAUUGUAGAGACCUGUACGAUGCAUCAUUGGAACGCCCACCGUGUAGGAGCGGGUCACCAUGAAGCCACGGUUAUCCACCAUCUUAUGAUGGAACUUCUCAUCCCAGUGAGGCUUGAAGAACAUGGCGUUGACAAUAAGGGCUCCAUCAGUUUUCUCAACAUCCUUUGUGACUUCUGGGAGUUUCCCAUCUGUGGUCUGGGCUGCCCACUCGUUGAUGGAUUUCAGGGCGCUCCUCUUGUCCCGAAAGUUGAUCUUGGAGUGCUCAUAGUUGUAGUGUUUCUUGCUGUUCUUCACGAAGUCAUCGGCAAAGUUGAUGGAGGCAGGGCCAUACAAGCGGUUGCCGAUCUUCCAGGUAACAUUACGGGCUGUGCUGUUGCUCACCUCGUUGAGGAGCUCCGACAGCCCGCUGUGCACAUAGUCAUCAUUCAGCUUGUCUGCGCUGAGCACGGCCUUGGCUUGGGAGGCAGUUGUAGCCUUGCCCCCAAGGGACACGAGGCCCAGGGAAGAAGCCACGACCACGGGAGACAGCAGGAUGUUCUCCAUGUUCUUGUCUUUGGCCAUGGCAUGGUAGAGGUUGAAGGCCAACGUCGUGCUGCGGUCGGCCAACGUUGUUGCCUUGUCGCUCAGCUUCCUGUCCUCUGAGGGCACAGCUGCUGCAAGGCCGCAGAGAGCGAGGACCAGAAAAAUCUGCAUGGUUUUGGCAGCACCCAACUCGUCUGGGGACCUCCGGAGCAGUGCAGGAUCGGGGCUCAGUUCCCUGUGCACCUCCCGGUCCAGAGGAGGGGGUAUAUAAGGGGCCGGCAAGAAACUUCUGGAAGUUGGGAAAAACCUCUCAAAAAAAAAAAAAAAAAAAUCCAGCCUGGGGAGGGAGAGAGGAA